GACGAACGCUGGCGGCGUGCUUAACACAUGCAAGUCGAACGGAAAGGCCCGGCGUUUGUGGUGGGCUCUAUUGUCGAACGGGGGAGUAACACGUGAGUAUCCUGUCCUUGACUUUGGGAGAUCUUCAGGAAACUGGGGCGAUUACCGGAUAUGAGUUCCUGCUGCAUGGUGGGUGUUGGAAAGAUUCGGCGGUUGGGGAUGGACUCGCGGCUUAUCAGCUUGUUGGUGGGGUAGUGUCUUACCAAGGCUUUGACGGGUAGCCGGCCUGAGAGGGUGACCGGCCACAUUGGGACUGAGAUACGGCCCAGACUCCUACGGGAGGCAGCAGUGGGGAAUAUUGCACAAUGGGCGGAAGCCUGAUGCAGCAACGCCGCGUGCGGGAUGACGGCCUUCGGGUUGUAAACCGCUUUCGCCUGUGACGAAGCGUGAGUGACGGUAAUGGGUAAAGAAGCACCGGCUAACUACGUG
rnacentral:rRNA from 1 species